rnacentral:rRNA from 1 species
UACGUAGGGUGCGAGCGUUAAUCGGAAUUACUGGGCGUAAAGCGUGCGUAGGUGGUUUGUUAAGUCUGCUGUGAAAGCCCCGGGCUCAACCUGGGAAUGGCAGUGGAUACUGGCAAGCUAGAGUGCGGUAGAGGGUAGUGGAAUUCCCGGUGUAGCGGUGAAAUGCGUAGAGAUCGGGAGGAACACCAGUGGCGAAGGCGGCUACCUGGACCAGCACUGACACUGAGGCACGAAAGCGUGGGGAGCAAACAGG